AAUUUGAAAUCUGGCCCUUUCGGGGUCCGAGUUGUAAUUUGUAGAGAGUGCUUCGGGUGAGACCGCGGUCUAAGUCCAUUGGAACAUGGCGUCCCAGAGGGUGAGAAUCCCGUAUGUGACCGUGGCUCGAGCCCAUGUGAAGCCUCUUCGACGAGUCGAGUUGUUUGGGAAUGCAGCUCUAAAUGGGUGGUAAAUUUCAUCUAAAGCUAAAUACUGGCUGGAGACCGAUAGCGCACAAGUAGAGUGAUCGAAAGAUGAAAAGCACUUUGGAAAGAGGGUUAAACAGUACGUGAAAUUGUUGAAAGGGAAGCGCUGGCAACCAGACCUGCCCGUAGGCGAUCACCCGUUGUUCUCAGCGGUGCACUCGUUCUGCGAUCAGGCCAGCAUCGGUUCCGGCGGGCGGAUAAAGGUCUUGGGAAUGUAGCUCUCUUUCGGGGGAGUCUUAUAGCCCUCGAUGCAAUGCGCCCAGCCGGGACCGAGGACCGCGCUUCGGCUAGGAUGCUGGCGUAAUGGUUGUCAGCGACCC
rnacentral:rRNA from 1 species